CCAAUAGCGUAUAUUAAAGUUGUUGCAGUUAAAAAGCUCGUAGUUGAAUUUCGGAAUCAGUACGCUGGUCGUGCCUUCGGUAUGUACUGGUGUCACUGAUUCCUCCCUUCUGACGAACCGUCAUGCUAUUAAUUUAGUGUGGCGGGAAAUCAGGACUGUUACUUUGAAAAAAUUAGAGUGUUUAAAGCAGGCUCACGCUUGAAUACAUUAGCAUGGAAUAAUGAAAUAGGACGUUGAUCUUAUUUUGUUGGUUUCUAGGAUUGACGUAAUGAUUAAUAGGGAUAGUUGGGGGCAUUAGUAUUCAAUUGUCAGAGGUGAAAUUCUUGGAUUUAUUGAAGACUAACUGCUGCGAAAGCAUUUGCCAAGGAUGUUUUCAUUAAUCAAGAACGAAAGUUAGGGGAUCGAAGACGAUCAGAUACCGUCGUAGUCUUAACCAUAAACUAUGCCGACUAGGGAUCGGAUGAUGUUAAUUUUUUAAUGACUCAUUCGGCGCCUUACG
rnacentral:rRNA from 1 species